GACGGAGGGCGCAAGCGUUGUUCGGAAUUACUGGGCGUAAAGCGCGCGCAGGCGGGAAGAUAAGUCUGGAGUGAAAUUCCGGGGCUCAACUCCGGAGCUGCUUUGGAUACUGUUUUCUAGGGACCGGUAGAGGCCGGUGGAAUUCCCGGUGUAGCGGUGGAAUGCGUAGAGAUCGGGAAGAACACCCGUGGCGAAGGCGGCUCUCUGGGACGGUACUGACGCUGAGACGCGAAAGCGUGGGGAGCGAACAGG
rnacentral:rRNA from 1 species